rnacentral:rRNA from 1 species
UACGAAGGGGGCUAGCGUUGCUCGGAAUCACUGGGCGUAAAGCGCGUGUAGGCGGGUCGUUAAGUGUCUUGUGAAAUCCCACGGCUCAACCGUGGAACUGCUGGGCAUACUGACGAUCUUGAGGCACUCAGGGGCUGUCGGAACAAAUGGUGGAGCGGUGAAAUGCGUAGAUAUCAUUUGGAACGCCAACGGUGAAAACAGACAGCUGGGGGUGUCCUGACGCUGAGACGCGAAAGCCAGGGGAGCGAACGGG